rnacentral:rRNA from 1 species
UACGUAGGUUGCAAGCGUUGUCCGGAAUUAUUGGGCGUAAAGCGCGCGCAGGUGGUUUAAUAAGUCUGAUGUAAAAGCCCACGGCCCAACCGUGGAAGGUCAUUGGAAACUGUUAAACUUGAGUGCAGGAGAGGAAAGUGGAAUUCCUGGUGUAGCGGUGAAAUGCGUAGAGAUUAGGAGGAACACCAGUGGCGAAGGCGGCUUUUUGGCCUGCAACUGACACUCAGGCGCGAAAGCGUGGGGAGCAAACAGG